GCGGCAGUGGUGGAAUUGGUAGACACGCAAGCUUGAGGUGCUUGUGAGGUAACACUUGUGCUGGUUCAAGUCCAGUCUGCCGCA
rnacentral:tRNA from 1 species